AAGUAGAAACGAAACGAAACGAAACGAAACUCCCUCCUUCCAGAAUUCACAACCAUUGUUCAAAAGGGAUUGCCUCUUCCAGAAAACGAGAUCUCCACUACUUUUCCAUUUCGAGACAUCAGUCUCUCUCCUUGACCGACCAAGAUCAACAUCAGCAUCAGUCACGGCUUGGUACAUUGAUAGAAUAAGCACUGGUGAUUGUUUUGAGUGAGCGACAAGUUUAGUUUCCUGUUGUGACUGAACUGCUCUGCUUAUUUUGACCCUGCAACACUCAGAUCAAACUGCAAAAUUGUGCAGCUGACUCUCUUUGUCGAGAUUCUGAAGGAAAGAUACAGUCAAAGUUCAGUUCAUUGAUUUUUCAGUGAAGAAGAAAGAGGUGUAGCUUUUGGACUCUUUGCUGGAGCCUGGAGCCUGGAGAUAUCGAACCAACAACUUCCACGCGAAAUCCUCUUAGGUUUGGAAAGAAGAGGAAUGAAUUGUUCAAAGCAAAACCAAGCAAGAACCCGAAAAG